GUAACAAGUUUGGAGAGCGCAAGUUUGCACAUCCAGCACGGGCUGCAGCUGCUAAUUCCUAACUUUCCUCACUACCUUUUCUUCCUAAAGAGAACAGGAGUGACAAAGACAUCCACGCUGCAUCUAAAUUACCUUUAUUUACCGCUGGGUACUUUGUCUGAUCAACACAGCCCUCACAGGGCCUCUGUGCCCCUUCCCACCCUCCCACAGGAGGGUCCCUGAAAGCAGAGCAGCUCCGAGGGCGCCGCUGCCCCCGUGCACCACUCACCCUGCACUCACCCUGAUGGCAGCAGACGUGGCACGCUCCUGCCCCAACGGCAGCCCUACCAGCCCCGUGCAUCACUGGAAUCACUUUCACCCACCCGCAAGCUCCAUUCAGAACUUGCAGAAUUCACUGCAAAGGGGGGGCUCUGCAGGUGGAGGGGAGGACAGAGACAGACAUGACACACAGACACUCCUUCCACAGCUUUCUGUCCAUCCUGUGGAGUGGCAGAGGGAUGGCGGAGGACCCAACUCCAGAACACUGUUAGGAACGUUUCAGUUUUUUAAGAAAGCGACACAAUCCCCGAGGCUGCCCAGGCACACAUUUGGGAUGGAGUAAGAAGGAAUAAGAGCUGUGGGAUUCCCCCUCUUUUUUAGAACAAAUGCUCACUUGCCACUAGCUCUCCAGAAGUCGGGGCUGAGCAGAAUCUGACAUCAUGCUACCUCCAGCCUUUCGGCAGUUCCUUUAACUCCCUUCCCCUUAAGCUGCCCUCCUCGCACUCUCCUACCCCCUGGGGCUCCUCCAGAGAGCAGUGCCUACAUUAUUCCAAAGGCUGCCCAAAGAGAAAUGCUCACAUGGCACGCCAGCAUCACCCAAAGCACAAGCACCUCCCAUGGCGUGCGGGACUCCAUCGGGCUGGACUGGAGAAAUUCAGAGCCACUCAGAUACGCUCCAGAAGCCUUCAGCUCCUGAGCACAAACACACGUGAAAGAGAGGAACGUUAAUGUGAAACUCCUGCUCCCCACCUGCCCGAGGAGGCAGCGGGAUUCCUUGCAGGCGGUCUGCAUCCAGGCACUGCGAGUGGCCCAGGAAACUCAUCUCCUUUUUUUUAGUAUUAUUAUUUGCUUUAUUAAGGAAGGGGUUUAAAUUGGAGGAUAAAGGAGAUGCCACGAAGCUAGCUAGAAAACACAUCAACAAACAACAAUACAGCACGGAGCAGAGAAAUUACAAAGCAGACAACCAGAAUGGAAGCACUGAACAAUCCCAAUGCAAAACUCUUUUUGCUCUGGGCAAAUUUAAGAAAAUAAAGAAAUCCUUGAGCGUAAGGCCUUCAUUAACAGAGCACUGUCUGUCAAAGUCAGAUCCUGCUGGAACCCGCGGCAGCACUACGGGGGGCUCCCGCCUGUCCCCCACCCACCAUGUGGUUGGGUGCCCCCCAGCACUGCGGGCUCUCAGCACAGUGCAGGAGGGGCUGCUUUAUGAGCCCCUCUGAAACUUUUGGAGUGGAAUGUCUGUAAGGGAGUUGCAAUGGGAAGCUGUGGCCCGAUUUUAAAAGGGUUGCCGAAAUAAUAUGUAAAACAGCGAAAUGAACGCCGACUGCACGUCGGUUCGAUACAGAACCCUAAAGGAAUCGCCGAACAACACAGAUUUCUGUUGCUUGACAAAGUCGAGAAACUACGAUGCCAGCAUGUGCAGGAAUGUAAGAACAGAGUUGCGAGACACUGACAAACAGUUGCAACACAGAAAAAAAACCACCCAGAACCACCCCACCGCCACCCAAACGGCCCACACCGUGGGCCGCCAACAACGGGGGCAGAAGUGCGGAGCAGUCCCGGUGGCUGUGGGGGCUGCUGAAGGCUCCCCGCCAGCACCGAGCGGCACCGAACCCCACAGCAGCGAGCGGGAGCAGCAGUGGCAGAGCCCAGCGCCGGGAGCAGCGGCCAAUCAGAAAGCAGGUCACCGCUCGUGUGCGUACUGUGUACACUGAGCGGCACUGCCUCCAUGGCUCGGCUGACAGUCGGGCACGCAUGUGUGCUUUAUUUUGUUGUGACCUCCCGUUCUUUCCAGGAACUACAGCGUAACAAACGGGUCGGUCCGAAAUCAUUCGCCGCGCACGGUGCCACCGAUCCAGCAGACACGGGUGUCUGCACGAAGCCGCUAAUUACAAAAGACGGGUACUUUGUAAAAGUGUUUGCAGGGCACCGCCGGCAAAGUAUCGCAAAAAUCCCAGCGCCAGGACGGUCUGCUGCCCAAACACAGCCACAUGGCAGCACUGCAGCCCGAUCCCGGCCGCGCUACACUCCGGCAGGCAGAAGUGCGCCGCGUUAAGCACGCGAACAACAGGCUGCAGCCUCCCCUGCUCUUCCCCCGAGUGGCCGAACGUCCCCUCUCCGUGCAGCACUCCGCCCCGUGGCAGCUGCCCCGCGCUGGGCCGGCUGCACGGCGCCCCGCACUGCGCCCAGCGCGGGCAGCACCCGCGGAGUUCCCGUCCCGCGGCACUUUGACAGCGCGGCGGGGCGGGGAGGGAUCGUCCCCCCGCGGCACCCGGCGUGAGCGCGGCCGCCCGUCCUCCGGACACGCGUUCCGCGAGCGCAGCCGGGGCGCAAGUUUGCAAAACUCCGCUCCUGUUUGCUGCUGCCGUUCCUUUCCCUUCGUAACGAGUUUCCAGAACAGCAGCUUCCAGAAGAAGUGACGUACUGAGCUGCUUCAUAGCCUUCCCACAGCUUCUGCCACUGAACACGGAGCCAACAGAUCCUACAUGCCCUGGCUAUGCAGCAGUGCUGCAUGGAUGCUCCAGGCCCAUCCCAGCCAGAGCGGAGCCGAACGAACAGCACACCCAUCCCCGUGGUGCUGCAGUACCAGUGCCAAUGUCCUGCCAGUGUUUGCUGGCAGCUCAGCAGCCUGCAGUGUGGCUGCAUGCCUGCGAGAGGGCUGCCCUGGGGCUUCCCGCCUGUAUUCCUGCAAACCCCGCCCAGCUACCUUUGAGUCUGAAACCGAAAUGAUGGGGAAAUUACAGAAUUACAGCACCAGUAUGCACAUUUUUGAAAAUAUUUUGAAUAUCAUCUACUUCAUGUAAAAACAAAACCAAAAACCUCCCAAACUGUGGAUUCUACUUUGUUUGCAAAGCGAGCUUGAAGUCAAAUACAUUUGCCAAAGACAGA